AGUAAAAGUCGUAACAAGGUCUCCGUAGGUGAACCUGCGGAGGGAUCAUUUUCGUUAUAAAAAAAUACAUACAUAAGUUAGUGAAAGAGAUCUUUUUCUCUAUCUCUAAUUUAUGUAAAACGGUUAGGGUUACAUUAACUGAAAGAGAAGCCCCGCUCUCUGAGGAAGUUUACCUAACUUUGUGCGUAGGGGAACGUCGUAAAACCUUUUUAAGGAGUUAGCGGAGUUAAAUGAAUCAUAGGGUUAAACCUUUGAUAAGUUUAACAGAGAUGUUAACUUUCUUAAAGGCGAUAAACAUAAAAUUUGAAUACAAAUAACUUUAUUACAACCAAUACCAACGGAUCUCUAGGCUCUGGAAACGAUGAAGAACGCAGCGAAAUGCGAAACGUAAUACGAAUCGCACCAUACUGGAAUCAUCGAAUUUUUGAACGCAAAUGGCACUGGGAUCUUUAAGAUUACCGGUGAUUACGUGUGAGCGCCUUAGUUAAACAUUGUCAAACUUGACAGAGACGAGUGUUGUCAUUAACAGUGACUCACUUUAGAUACAUGUAAAGUUAGUUAGUUAUGGGAUGCAUUAAGAGACACCAAAAAGUUUAAAGUAAACUAAUUGAAUCGAUCGGAGGAGUAUCUUCAAUGAGAGAUGAUAGAAGGGAUCUUUAAACUAUUGAUGUAUCGAAGAGAUGUUAAAGGCUAGCUGUUUAAACUUUGCUAAGAACGAGUUAAUAAAAAUCUCACCCGGACUACUACAGUUUUUAAAUUUAUUUUUUAUAGCUGGUUUAAGUAGUCUUUGAAUAAUGGGCAUCACAUGUAAUCGACUACCCGCUGAACUUAAGCAUAUC
rnacentral:rRNA from 1 species